rnacentral:rRNA from 1 species
GGGUGCGAUCAUACCAACGUUAAUGCACCGGAUCCCAUCAGAACUCCGCAGUUAAGCGCGCUUGGGCUAGAGUAGUACUGGGAUGGGUGACCUCCCGGGAAGUCCUAGUGUUGCACCCU